rnacentral:rRNA from 1 species
CCCUUGAGUUUGAUCAUGGCUCAGGACGAACGCUGGCGGCGUGCCUAAUACAUGCAAGUAGAACGCUGAAGAGAGGAGCUUGCUCUUCUUGGAUGAGUUGCGAACGGGUGAGUAACGCGUAGKUAACCUGCCUUGUAGCGGGGGAUAACUAUUGGAAACGAUAGCUAAUACCGCAUAACAAUGGGUGACACAUGUCAUUUAUUUGAAAGGGGCAAAUGCUCCACUACAAGAUGGACCUGCGUUGUAUUAGCUAGUAGGUGAGGUAACGGCUCACCUAGGCGACGAUACAUAGCCGACCUGAGAGGGUGGUCGGCCACACUGGGACUGAGACACGGCCCAGACUCCUACGGGAGGCAGCAGUAGGGAAUCUUCGGCAAUGGGGGCAACCCUGACCGAGCAACGCCGCGUGAGUGAAGAAGGUUUUCGGAUCGUAAAGCUCUGUUGUAAGUCAAGAACGAGUGUGAGAGUGGAAAGUUCACACUGUGACGGUAGCUUACCAGAAAGGGACGGCUAACUACGUGCCAGCAGCCGCGGUAAUACGUAGGUCCCGAGCGUUGUCCGGAUUUAUUGGGCGUAAAGCGAGCGCAGGCGGUUUGAUAAGUCUGAAGUUAAAGGCUGUGGCUCAACCAGAGUUCGCUUUGGAAACUGUCAAACUUGAGUGCAGAAGGGGAGAGUGGAAUUCCAUGUGUAGCGGUGAAAUGCGUAGAUAUAUGGAGGAACACCGGUGGCGAAAGCGGCUCUCUGGUCUGUAACUGACGCUGAGGCUCGAAAGCGUGGGGAGCGAACAGGAUUAGAUACCCUGGUAGUCCACGCCGUAAACGAUGAGUGCUAGGUGUUGGAUCCUUUCCGGGAUUCAGUGCCGCAGCUAACGCAUUAAGCACUCCGCCUGGGGAGUACGACCGCAAGGUUGAAACUCAAAGGAAUUGACGG